UAGGACUCUGUUUGUGAUACAUAUCUAAUGUAUGCCCUUUUAUCUACAUUCAAUGGAGAAUUUGGUCUGGCAGGUCUUCUAUGCAAUUUCUACUUCUGGUAGCAAAACUAUGUACAGGAGUACUCUUGAACAUGUAGGAAUCUCAAUGACGUCUUAAAAACAAAACAAAGUGAUUGCUCGGCCUUGGAAGAUCAUCACUGUUUGGGAGGACAUUAUCUGUUAUUACAUUCACUCUUCAACCAAAGAUAGUUGCUCAGGAGUUUCAAUAUCUUCUGUGGAAUUUCAUAGCUAAUAAUUUACUUGCUGAAAAUGAUUUCUAUGUUGUCAUUUUCUCUAUCUUUUCAUCAUUCUUUUUAUCUUGAGAACCUUAUAGUUAUUUAAGAGUAUGAAUAUGUUGUUCCCAAAUCUUGUAUGCUGGUGGA